UGGUCGAACGAGAAAGUCCCGCAAGGGAUGAGUAAAGUGGCGCACGGGUGAGUAACACGUAGCUAACCUGCCCUCGAGUGGGGGAUAACCUGGGGAAACUCGGGCUAAUACCGCAUAACGUCCUGGUUGCGCGAGCAGCCGGGAUCAAAGGCCCGCAAGGGUCACUUGAGGAGGGGGCUGCGGCCGAUUAGCUAGUUGGGAGGAAUGGCCCACCAAGGCUAUGAUCGGUAGCCGGCCUGAGAGGGCGCACGGCCACACUGGCACUGAAACACGGGCCAGACUCCUACGGGAGGCAGCGUGGGGAAUUUUGCACAAUGCCCGAAAGGGUGAUGCAGCAACGCCGCGUGAGGGAUGAAGGCCUUCGGGUCGUAAACCUCUUUCGAUCGGGAAAAACGGGCUGGUGAAUAGCCGGCUCUGAUGGUACCGGAUGAAGAAGCCCCGGCCAACUACGUGCCAGCAGCCGCGGUAAUACGUAGGGGGCGAGCGUUGUUCGGAAUUACUGGGCGUAAAGGGCGUGUAGGCGGUGCGGUAAGUCGGGCGUGAAAUCCCCGGGCUUAACCCGGGGCGGUCGUUCGAAACUGCCGUGCUAGAGUGCAGGAGAGGGAAGUGGAAUUCCCGGUGUAGCGGUGAAAUGCGUAGAUAUCGGGAGGAACACCUGCGGCGAAGGCGGCUUCCUGGACUGCAACUGACGCUGAGGCGCGAAAGCUAGGGGAGCAAACAGGAUUAGAUACCCUGGUAGUCCUAGCCCUAAACGAUGAGCACUGGGGUGUGGCCCCGUACGGGGCCGUGCCGAACUACGCAUUAAGUGCUCCGCCUGGGGAGUACGGUCGCAGGUGAAACUCAAGGAAUUGACGGGGCCCGCACAGCGGUGGA
rnacentral:rRNA from 1 species